rnacentral:rRNA from 1 species
UGCGUAGGCGGAUUAAUAAGUCAGUGGUGAAAUCUUUCGGCUCAACCGAGAACCUGCCAUUGAUACUGUUAAUCUUGAGUUCGGUUGAGGUAGGCGGAAUGUGUUAUGUAGCGGUGAAAUGCUUAGAUAUUACACAGAACACCAAUUGCGUAGGCAGCUUACUAGACCGACACUGACGCUGAGGCACGAAAGCGUGGGGAGCGAACAGGAUUAGAUACCCUGGUAGUC